AGUACAGACCUUCGUUCCACCAACGUUUUAUUGAAAUAUCGUCCAAUAAAAAUGAGGACAAAGGUUAAGCAUGUUCCUUUAAUACUGACAGGAGGGAGUAUGAAGUUGGGCAUUCUGGGAGUUGGUCGCCAACUAGUCAAACAAGUUUCUUUUGAGUUAUUUUACAACCAGCAUUUCGGAGGCAUGAAGCUGACCUGGCUGCACUAUCUCUGUACAGGUGCGUGAGCCGCUGUCAGCUCCACAAAUCACAGAGCAGGUUGGUAGCACACAGUACAGCAAGGCUGAUGGUGAUUGGUGGAUACUUUCUGUUUGUGCCACAGGCUUGUGUCCCCCUGGUGGGUUUUUGUGAGUGAGUGGAGUAGGGCUACUGAUCUGGGAUCCGUUUUCUCUGUUGUGUGAGUAAGUUUAGGAUGUGAGCAGGGUGAUGCUGAUGCUGGAUCAGCACUCAUACUGUGAACUCUGGUCCCCCCUCGCUGCCUGAGAACAUACUCUGCUCUGGGUCACCUGACCAACUUUCCGCGGUCAGAAUGUCGCCGUCGGAAACUUGGCUGCUUGGCGUGACUCUGCUGAGGCGCGGUUUGGCAUUUCGUUUCAUUGAUUCGGCGUUUCAGCGGUUUGGUGGUUCGUUAGGAACGGGUUUCUUGAGUGCUGAGGGCCUGGGGGGGGGGGCGGAUGGGCGGGACAGCUGGCCGCUAAACCGCCACUAUGCUAAUCCUGCCGGUAGAAUCAUCACUCAUUAUAAUUACAGUCACACAGCGGACACCCUUCUCCCCAGCACCUCACUGAAGAGCAGAACACCAGCGUUAGUCACAGAUAUGCUAAUGCACAGAUAUGCUAAUGCAGCACCACCGAGAAGCUGCAGCAGGCCAUUCAGAAUGAAUAAGCUAGCAAAAGAAGCAAAAGUAAGAACAGGCUAGCGUUGAGAUGGUGUGUGUGUGUGUGUGCGCGUGUUUUCUUCUUUCCUAACUUUAGGAGGACAUAGAGACAGAAUCCACGUUCUCGCUAAACAUGACAUUCAGCAGCAAAAGAACGAAGUUUAAAAUCACAAUGCCCAUGCAGAAGGACACGCCACAGGUACGGCUCACCUGUACGGGUUCCAGUUCAGCUUUUAGAUGAACUGGCCCAUAAGAGUCACUGAUGGCUUGGAUCUACAGGGACUGAAGAGUGAGACUAACGUUUUAUUAGUCUUUAUUUAUUCCUAAAGGCAUUUUCCUCAACACGCAAUUCAGUUCAAUGGAGUUAUGCUUACAGGUAUGACUGCUUAUAACAAUAAAUCAAUCUUUUUAAAGCACAACAAUGAAAAAGGCUCUUUCUCUGUUUGUCCUCAUUUAUCAUGGUACUGUCUGCCUCUGCUGACAGAUCCAUCGUGCUCCCAGCAGCAAACAGAAUGUUAUUGGCCAGGUGAUGUCUAUGGCAACACUCCCAUUGUGAUGUAGCACUGCAGGAGGCAGACACUCUGAUUGGACGGCUGCAUUGUGUUGCAGGAGGUGGAGGAGGCUAGUCCAGGAGGUGAUCCCCCCAAACCCCCUCCCCCAGCUAAGCUUUCAAACAGGAAACAGGAAACACAAGAGCCUGCGAGCAGAGCGACCAAUCCCACAAUGAACUUGCUGAACGCGAGCGGUACCGGCAAAGCCAUGUUUUCUCUUCUCACGUUUGCAGUCCUGUUUUUUAUUAUUAUAAUAAAUGUAUAAAUAUCAAUGCAAGACAAAGUGUUGUAAUAGAGCCGUAUACCAUUGUAUUUACUUUCAAAUGUAAAGAAUAAUAAUAAAUAGAGGUGACAAACAUGAUCCCGCUGCUUGUGAAAUAAAAAAACAAAUUAAUAAACCCAGA